rnacentral:rRNA from 2 species
UUUAUGGAGAGUUUGAUCCUGGCUCAGGAUGAACGCUGGCGGCGUGCCUAAUACAUGCAAGUCGAGCGAACAGAUAAGGAGCUUGCUCCUUUGACGUU